rnacentral:rRNA from 1 species
ACGCCCAACAGCUAGCCCACAACCAACCCACAACAAACAACCAUAAAUAACCUUUAAUGACCUAAAACCACAUAGAACAAACCAUUUUUCCCCCUUAGUAUGGGCGACAGAAAAGGACCCAGGAGCAACAGAGAAAGUACCGCAAGGGAAAGCUGAAAUAGUAAUGAAAUAACCCAUAUAAGCCCCAAAAAGCAGAGAUUUAAGCUCGUACCUUUUGCAUCAUGAUUUAGCCAGUACCCCUAAGCAAAGAGCCCUUUAGUUUAGCACCCCGAAACUGAGCGAGCUACUCCAAGCCAGCCUACUAUAGGGCUAACCCGUCUCUGUGGCAAAAGAGUGGGGAGAGCUUCGAGUAGAGGUGAAAGGCCUACCGAGCCCAGUUAUAGCUGGUUGCCUAAGAAAUGAAUAUAAGUUCAGCCUCCGAGCUUCCCACCCCAAGCAAGUCUCACCAACAUUGGCCCUAGGAAGCCCAGAGAGUUAGUUAAAGGAGGUACAGCUCCUUUAAAAAAGACACAACUUUCCCAGGUGGAUAUAGAUCAAA